rnacentral:misc_RNA from 1 species
ACGAAUUUCAUUCGGUCUUCUGUGCUGGUGGCAACACAUGUGCACGUCGAUCGUAAUUCCAUUCUCCUUUCAAUCGUCCAGGUGUAUUUGGUCGGCCCUUGGUGGUCGAAGAAUCUUGUCGCCGUCAGGCUCUCGAUUCGUUCCAAUGCAUCUUGGUUUUUUCACCCACUCUGGGUACUAGAAACAAAGGAAACCGUAUAUAAACUUAUA